GCUCACUUUGGCAGCACAUAAAUUGGAAUAAUACAGAGAAGAUUAGCAUGGUCCUGUUGAAGAAUGACACACAAAUUCAUGAAACGUUCCAUAGUUUU
rnacentral:snRNA from 1 species